AGAGUUUGAUCAUGGCUCAGAACGUACGCUGGCGGCACGCCUAACACAUGCAAGUCGAACGAAGUAGCAAUACUUAGUGGCGAACGGGUGAGUAUAAUGUGGGUAUCUGCCCUUUGGUUUGGAAUAACACGAGGAAACUUGUGCUAAUACCGGAUAAGCCUUCACAGGGAAAGCUUUAGCGCCAAAGGAUGAGUCCACACUUGAUUAGCUAGUUGGUAAGGUAAUGGCUUACCAAGGCUACGAUCAAUAGCUGAUCUGAGAGGAUGAUCAGCCACAUUGGGACUGAGACACGGCCCAAACUUCUACGGAAGGCAGCAGUGGGGAGUCUUGCACAAUGGGGGAAACCCUGAUGCAGCGAUGCCGCGUGAGUGAAGAAGGCCCUUGGGUUGUAAAGCUCUUUCGUCGGGGAAGAAAAUGACUGUACCCGAAUAAGAAGGUCCGGCUAACUUCGUGCCAGCAGCCGCGGUAAUACGAAGGGACCUAGCGUAGUUCGGAAUUACUGGGCUUAAAGAGCACGUAGGUGGUUAAGAAAGUUGGUGGUGAAAUCCCAAGGCUUAACCUUGGAACUGCCACCAAAACUUUUUAACUAGAGUAUGAUUGAGGUAAGCGGAAUUUCUAGUGUAGAGGUGAAAUUCGUAGAUAUUAGAAAGAACACC
rnacentral:rRNA from 1 species